AAUGCCAUCGAGCUGGGGUAGCCAGGCUCGCGCUUCCGGGGCUGACAACGCAAGCCGCUAUUUAACUGACAAACCAGUCAACCAAUCAGAGGAAGGAGAAAAACUGGCUAGUGCGUGCACUUGUGACUUCUAUUAAGGCUAAUGGGAGUAAGGUGUGUGCCUAAAGGUUAGAAGAAACUUCCAAAGUUAGGAAUAUUGUUUACAUUUGGGGAACAUCCACCAGACAGUAUGCAAUCAGCCUGGAUGGGCCAUUUGGGAGAACAAUAGGACUCUGAAGAUGCUAAUCUCCCACCUUCCUGAGAAGUUUCCUCGUAUGCUGUGAUCAUGUCACGUGGUGCUGGAUUACAUCUUGGACUUCAGUAAGGAUAAAGAUGCCUCAUCUCCAUCUUGUCUUCAGUCC